UACGGAGGGUGCGAGCGUUGUCCGGAAUCACUGGGCGUAAAGGGCGCGUAGGUGGCGCGGGCAGUCAACGGUGAAAGUUCGGGGCUCAACCCUGAAUCGGCCGUCGAUACUCCCGGGCUUGAGCACUGUAGAGGCAGAUGGAAUUCCGGGUGUAGCGGUGGAAUGCGUAGAGAUCCGGAAGAACACCGGUGGCGAAGGCGGUCUGCUGGGCCGAUACUGACGCUGAGGAGCGAAAGCAUGGGUAGCGAACAGG
rnacentral:rRNA from 1 species